CUAUUAAAUUGGUACAGGUGAGGAGAAGAUGAGCAGGGAGGCGGACGCAUGCAUACAUUUACUGGCUUCAUCAAAGCCUCCCUAUUUACGAUGGCUAAGUGGGAUUUACAUCCACUGAGAGGAUGUCAGGAACAGGAUUUUUUUGUAAAGGAGAAGCUGGCAAGUACCAGAGGAUGGAGUGCCAUGCCUGCCACAAGGAAUCUGGAGAAGCAUAUCCACUCUCUUGACCCCUCCCCACGGCCUUAUUCCUCAAGAAUCUGGGCUUUUAAUUCUAUGGGAAAGUGACUAAUAAAUGAAAUCCAAGCCCCA
rnacentral:lncRNA from 1 species